AUUGAACGCUGGCGGCAGGCCUAACACAUGCAAGUCGAACGGUAACAGGAAGAAGCUUGCUUCUUUGCUGACGAGUGGCGGACGGGUGAGUAAUGUCUGGGAAACUGCCUGAUGGAGGGGGAUAACUACUGGAAACGGUAGCUAAUACCGCAUAACGUCGCAAGGCCAAAGAGGGGGACCUUCGGGCCUCUUGCCAUCGGAUGUGCCCAGAUGGGAUUAGCUAGUUGGUGGGGUAACGGCUCACCAAGGCGACGAUCCCUAGCUGGUCUGAGGGGAUGGCCAGCCACACUGGAACUGAGACACGGUCCAGACUCCUACGGGAGGCAGCAGUGGGGAAUGUUGCACAAUGGGCGCAAGCCUGAUGCAGCCAUGCCGCGUGUAUGAAGAAGGCCUUCGGGUUGUAAAGUACUUUCAGCGGGGAGGAAGGGAGUAAAGUUAAUACCUUUGCUCAUUGACGUUACCCGCAGAAGAAGCACCGGCUAACUCCGUGCCAGCAGCCGCGGUAA
rnacentral:rRNA from 1 species